ensembl:lncRNA
AGGGAAAAGUGUGUGUUUGUUAAUUUUCUGUUUGAAACUCAGCAGCUAGAAGCACCAGAACUGUGUGCAUUCAUGAGAUACCAUGUGACGUCACAGUACAGGUAUAUGCUGUAUGAUGUUUCAAUCAAAUUUACACAAUCUGCUUAUUUAUUACUUCCUUAUGGUAAGAAGAAAAUCAAAAUCACGGGACCAGUGAAGUGUUUGCCUCUCAAUCAUGAGGAACCCGAGUUCAAACCCCAGAACCCACAUAAAAAGUGCUUGGUGUAGCCAGGAGUUGGUGGCACACACCUUUAAUCUCAGCACUCGGGAGGCAGAGGCAGGUGGAUCCUUGUGAGUUCGAGGCCAUCCUGGUCUCCAGAGCGAGUGCCAGGAUAGGCUCCAAAGCUACAGAGAAACCCUGUCUCAAAAAACAAAAAAAAGAAAAAAAAAGUGCUUGGUGUAACAGUGCAUGCCUGCCAUCAUGGGGAGUCAGAGACAGGCAUGUCCCUGGGAUCGUGAGGACAAGCUCAAGCUGUCUGGUGGUGUUCCAGAUCAACGAGAGACCCUAUCACAAACAAAAGGGCACAAGGUCUUGACUCCAUGGAGAUGCCCUAGAAAUGUCUGACGAGCGAACAUGUGCAGGCAAUUACCCAAGCCCUGUUCAAAUGUCACCUCCUUCAGGACAUUGUACUACCUCAGCCUGCCUCCCUAGUGUAGGACUGCUUGACUCAGCUCAGCGUGCAUUGUGGGAACAGCACACUCUCUGUAGAGCCCUGAGCAUGGGGUAGAACCCUGGCCUUUCUCUGCCAUAGGUCAUGUGCCUUUGGACAAGCUACUUGGCCUGAGCUCCCUCAUUUGGAAGACAGAAUAUCAAUGAGCUGUGAACACAGAAUCACCAUGACGCCCUUAUCAUGGCUGUGACACUCAUGAGCUGGGAGCACAGAUCUACCAUGAUGUCCUUAUCAUGGCUGUGACACUCAUGAGCUGUGAACACAGAUCUACCAUGUUGCAGUUAUCAUGGCUGUGAUACUCAUGAGCUGUGACCAAUGAGCACUGGACCUCUGUGAUGCUAUGAUCAUGGCUGUGACAGCCUUGUCUCCCUCUACUAGCAAAUCCUCUGGAAAAGGAAUCACAUUCCCCACCUCACCCAGGACAAACAGCUCCUGGUCCAUGGCAAAGGGCUGGUGAAUGAAUGGAUGGAUGAAUGAAUGAAUGAAUGGAUGGAUGGAUGAAUGAAUGAGCAAAGGAGUGAAUGAGUAGACAAUGAAUCACUUAUUGUCCAGAGGACCCUCCAGGAGAGGACACUACAGUUUGGGUACAUUACCCCUGGUACCAACCAUGGGUGCUCAAAGCAAAUACCUUUUUAGACACCAGUGUCCAUCAAGGAGAAGAAACCUCCAAGUCUGCCUCUUAGCCACCUGCCAGGAAGGACAUCUCUUGGUGUCUAUCUUUGUUUCAGGGAUUUUUUUUCCUAAAGCAUUUACACGUUUCAGAACAUCUGAAAUGUGGUCUUCCCAGCAGGUUUGCCCAUCCUCUCCACUUCUGGGAAAAUAACAACAUAACAAUCUAUUCAUAC